rnacentral:rRNA from 1 species
GACGAAGGGGGCUAGCGUUGUUCGGAAUUACUGGGCGUAAAGCGCGUGUAGGCGGUUGCCAUAGUCAGGUGUGAAAGCCUUGAGCUCAACUCAAGAAAUGCACUUGAUACUGGGCGACUAGAGGACCGGAGAGGAUAGUGGAAUUCCCAGUGUAGUGGUGAAAUACGUAGAGAUUGGGAAGAACACCAGUGGCGAAGGCGGCUAUCUGGACGGUUUCUGACGCUAAGACGCGAAAGCGUGGGGAGCGAACAGG